AACGAACGCUGGCGGCGUGCCUAACACAUGCAAGUCGUGCGAGAAAGUUCCUUCGGGAGCGAGUAAAGCGGCGCACGGGUGAGUAACACGUAGGUAACCUGCCCCCCAGUCUGGAACAACUAGAGGAAACUCUAGCUAAUGCCGGAUGAGACCACGAUCCCCUCGGGGGUUGCGGCCAAAGAUGGCCUCUACUUGUAAGCUAUCGCUGAGGGAUGGGCCUGCGGGCCAUUAGCUUGUUGGUGAGGUAACGGCUCACCAAGGCUGUGAUGGCUAGCUGGUCUGAGAGGAUGACCAGCCACACUGGGACUGAGACACGGCCCAGACUCCUACGGGAGGCAGCAGUGGGGAAUAUUGCGCAAUGGGCGAAAGCCUGACGCAGCGACGCCGCGUGGGUGA
rnacentral:rRNA from 1 species